rnacentral:rRNA from 1 species
AUGCAGAGGGUGCGAGCGUUAAUCGGAAUUACUGGGCGUAAAGCGCGCGUAGGCGGCUUAUUAAGUCAGAUGUGAAAUCCCCGGGCUCAACCUGGGAACUGCAUCUGAUACUGGUAAGCUAGAGUUUUGGAGAGGGAAGUAGAAUUUCAGGUGUCGCGGUGAAAUGCAUAGAGAGCUGAAGGAAUACCAGUGGCGAAGGCGACUUCCUGGCCAAAAACUGACGCUGAGGUGCGAAAGCAUGGGUAGCAAACGGGAUUAGAAACCCCAGUAGUCC